GUUGAAAAUAACAGAAUAUGAAAUGUGGGAGUAGCUGAGUGAAAAUUAGGUAGAAGCCAGUGAACACUUUAUUUUAAGCUGGAAAAUUGGCAGUUAUUGUCAUGUGAUAGCAAAACAAUUGGAUUGUGACCUCGUGUCUACUGAGGCUAUAGCACUAGAAAACCUGGUAAGAAAAAUUCUGUAAGUUAGAAUAUCUUGCGGUCUUCGAUAUGAUCCUAAAAUAAACAGGCAAGCUUAGGCUUAAGAGGGCUUGUACGUAAACAAAGAAGAAGAAAGUAUGUAUUUUCUAAGAGAGGCCCUCUCUGGAAACCUGAGUCUGGCAGUGUUGGAAAAGCCCAGAGAAUUACAGAGAAAGGCACAAAGCACAUCAGGAAAAAUCCAUUGAUGGGCAGUCACAGCAAAAGUUUCCGGGGGAUGAGCCCUUCCACAGAUUAGAGUCAAGAGUCUGCAUCCUUCUUCUCUUUUAAGUGCCGUGAUAUCCUGCCAAAAGGAGUGAAGCAGGAGGAUGUGGACAGCCACUAGAGGAGGCGGGGCCAGCGCCAAGCUCACGCGUAGGAACGACUCUUUAAUGACUCUUCUGCCUGUUUUGAAAGGGCCAUUCAUCUGUCAGGCCGACCCAAAACAAAUACAACUGUCAGUUGGAAGCCCUGAAGAAAGCCCUUCUCUUGGCCCUCGGAUUACAGCUGGACCUGACGUUCCACAGAAUGCAGUGAUUUAUACAGCAGGAAAAUGACUGGCUGCGGGGUGACAGGGGAUUUUCUCCUGCAAGAAUUUCUGUAGGAAUUUCUGUAAUGGCCUUUCCUGACCCUUCACCCUGGUGAUUGAAUUUAAAAGUAAAAUGAAUGCCUUUUCCAUGAGUUAUUGAGUUUUCCUACCCUGCACUUAGAAUAACUUGCUACUUGUGGGAAAAAAUGGGAUAAGGGACUCUGUUCGGUGAAAUAUCUGAAUUAACGAUCUCCCCAAACAUCUUGGUGGAUUUGAGGAUGUAGAGAACAUGGGUGUUUUCAGUGAGAGAUGCAGCUUUAUUAGGGCUUGUUAUAGAAAGACGCUAAUAAGCAAAUUGGUGAUGAGACUUCAGUGGGAAGGGCAACCCCCGUUGGGGGGUGAUUUUAAGCUGUUCUAGUAAACCAGAGAAGCUUGGUUCCCAAGCCCUCUCUGUUCGUGUUGACCCGGUUUCAGGAAAUUGGUUUACAGAAGCACCAGUCCUGAC
rnacentral:lncRNA from 1 species